rnacentral:rRNA from 1 species
GACGAACGCUGGCGGCGUGCUUAACACAUGCAAGUCGAACGGAGAGGCCCUGCUUUUGUGGGGUGCUCGAGUGGCGAACGGGUGAGUAACACGUGAGUAACCUGCCCUUGACUUUGGGAUAACUUCAGGAAACUGGGGCUAAUACCGGAUAGGAGCUCCUGCUGCAUGGUGGGGGUUGGAAAGUUUCGGCGGUUGGGGAUGGACUCGCGGCUUAUCAGCUUGUUGGUGGGGUAGUGGCUUACCAAGGCUUUGACGGGUAGCCGGCCUGAGAGGGUGACCGGCCACAUUGGGACUGAGAUACGGCCCAGACUCCUACGGGAGGCAGCAGUGGGGAAUAUUGCACAAUGGGCGGAAGCCUGAUGCAGCAACGCCGCGUGCGGGAUGACGGCCUUCGGGUUGUAAACCGCUUUCGCCUGUGACGAAGCGUGAGUGACGGUAAUGGGUAAAGAAGUACCGGCUAACUACGUG